rnacentral:rRNA from 1 species
GUAGGUGGCAAGCGUUGUCCGGAAUUAUUGGGCGUAAAGCGCGCGCGGGCGGUCCUUUAAGUCUGAUGUGAAAGCCCACGGCUCAACCGUGGAGGGUCAUUGGAAACUGGGGGACUUGAGUACAGAAGAGGAAAGCGGAAUUCCAAGUGUAGCGGUGAAAUGCGUAGAGAUUUGGAGGAACACCAGUGGCGAAGGCGGCUUUCUGGUCUGUAACUGACGCUGAGGCGCGAAAGCGUGGGGAGCAAACAGGAUUAGAUACCCUGGUAGUCCACGCCGUAAACGAUGAGUGCUAAGUGUUAGGGGGUUUCCCGCCCCCCUUAGUGCUGCAGCUAACGCAUUAAGCACUCCGCCUGGGGAGUACGGCCGCAAGGCUGA